GACGAACGCUGGCGGCGUGCCUAACACAUGCAAGUCGAACGAAGCUUGAUUACGGAUUCUUCGGCUGAAGUAUGAUAUGACUGAGCGGGCGACGGGUGAGUAACGAGUGCGUAAAAUGCCGUUCAGAGGGGGAUAGCGUUCGGCAACGAACGGUAAUACCGCAUUAUGUAUUUCGACCGCUUGAUCGACAUCCCAAAGAUUUAGCGCCGAAGGAUGGACUCGGGUCUGAGUAGGUCGGUGGUGAGGUAAAGCCCUACCAAGCCGACGAUCAGUAGCCGGACUGGGGAGUUGGACGGCCACAUUUGGACGGAGGCACGGCCCAGACUCCUACGGGAAGCAGCAGUGGGGGAAAUUUGACAAUUGGCGCAAGCCUUGAGCAGCAACGGCGCGUGAAGGAAUACAGUUUUCGGAUUGGAAACGUCUGUUCUUAGUGAAGGAUAAUGACGGUAGCUAAAGAGCAAGCCACGGCUAACUACGUG
rnacentral:rRNA from 1 species